GCUGGCGGCACGCCUAAUACAUGCAAGUCGAACGGGGUAGCAAUACCUAGUGGCAGACGGGUGAGUAACAUGUGGGUACCUUCCCUUUGGUGAGGAAUAACACGAGGAAACUUGUGCUAAUACUUCAUAAGUCUUUACGGAGAAAGCUUUAUGCGCCGAUGGAUGGGCCCGCACUUGAUUAGUUAGUUGGUAAGGUAAAAGCUUACCAAGACUUUGAUCAAUAGCUGAUUUGAGAGGAUGAUCAGCCACAUUGGGACUGAGACACGGCCCAAACUCCUACGGGAGGCAGCAGUAGGGAAUCUUGCACAAUGGAGGAAACUCUGAUGCAGCGAUGCCGCGUGAGUGAAGAAGGCCCUUGGGUUGUAAAGCUCUUUCGUCGGGGAAGAAAAUGACUGUACCCGAAUAAGAAGGUCCGGCUAACUUCGUGCCAGCAGCCGCGGUAAUACGAAGGGACCUAGCGUAGUUCGGAAUUACUGGGCUUAAAGAGUUCGUAGGUGGUUAAAAAAGUUGGUGGUGAAAUCCCAGAGCUUAACUCUGGAACUGCCAUCAAAACUUUUUAGCUAGAGUAUGAUAGAGGAAAGCAGAAUUUCUAGUGUAGAGGUGAAAUUCGUAGAUAUUAGAAAGAAUACCGAUUGCGAAGGCAGCUUUCUGGAUCAUUACUGACACUGAGGAACGAAAGCAUGGGUAGCGAAGAGGAUUAGAUACCCUCGUAGUCCAUGCCGUAAACGAUGUGUGUUAGAUGUUGGAAUUUUUUUUCAGUAUCGCAGCGAAAGCGUUAAACACACCGCCUGGGGAGUACGACCGCA
rnacentral:rRNA from 1 species